GAGCUGCCUUCCCUUCUCCCUAACCAUAUUGGUCCACCGAAGGCUGCCAAUUAGAGUGACUCCCAAGGCUAGGCGAGUGACCUCACUGGCCCCUGUGCCUUCCUCACACAUUUUCCAGUGGAACUUGUAAAAAGAGUAGCGAUUCAUGUUGAAGAGUGUGGUGGGUAGGUAGCUGUUCCAGCUUUGACCUGGAAGUACUACCCCCAGUGAGGCUUCCGGUAACUGUCACACCGACCUAUGACCUGCUCCUGAGGCGGGGCCGAGGUGGGAGUCCUUAAGACCGGAGAUCGAGAGUGCUGGCUCUCUUGGUUCCUGGUGAUCCUGGAUCCGCUGGAUUGAGUGGAGUUCUCCAGAGAACCCAGCUGGACUGCACCUCCCCACUCCUGGAUCCUGUAACCAAUACCUUUACUAGGUAAACACAGACAUAGGAUCUCCUGGAACCAGAGUUACAGCUGUGACAGAGGAGGGAACCGAACCGGGUACUAUGAGAGAGCAUUCAUAGUGAAAUGUGAGAAGAGGAAGACUAAUGAAUGGAAGAACUGUCAGACCAACAGAACCCAAGAAUUGUUGACUUUCAAAAUGACCAGGCUUUCCAAGAUGGAAAACAAUGCCAAAACAAAGAAGUGGCUUCUACACCAAGAUCCAAUGCAGGACUGCCAGACGAUCUUGGCCCAAAAACGAAGUUGAAGAUAGGAUUGUGAAACCCUCUGUUAAAACAUUAGGAAGGUCCAAGGUAGUGCUUCAGAGAACCAGAGUCAAAUGCUGUGUGCUUCAUUAGUACAGUGAUUCCAGCAGGAUCUCUAAGUAGAGAAGAAAUGAUGUUAAAAGACUGUAGUGUGUGUGUGUGUGUGUGUGUGUGUGUGUGUCUGUGUGUCUGUGUGUGUCUGUGUGUGUUUAAAUGGAAUCAGCCCUAGUAAAACUCACAGGAUACCCAUCACAUUUCUAUGAGUCCACAGUUGUCAGGGAUGUCGAAAGGAACAGAGAUGGGAUGAAAAGGAAAGCUUCUGGAUCGUCACUUUUCUAUAGGUAGGAGCCAGACUUAGAAAAACAAGCUGCACAUCGUUGAAAAGAAGUACCAUCCAAAGUGGAAGCAGAUGUAUAAAGAGCCAAAAGUCACAGAUGGAUAGCCAUUCCCAGGAAGCAGGGAUGAGCAUGCAUGAAGAACUUCUGAUAUUUGCCCAACCAGAUUCCAGAAUAUCUAUGACCCAGUGACUCCAGCAUGCCCAGCAUUCACUCUGCUUUGAAUGGAAGAGUAGACAGUGGUUAUUGCAAUUCUGUCCCAUUGCUGUGUGGUAUAUAUAUAUGUGGUGGUGGUGGUGGUGAAGGGCAUCUUAUCUACUUAAGCCACACUGAAAAAGCUUCAUCUACACUUAGACCUGCUUGGCAUACAAGAUUCUAGACUUUGGGAUGCUGUUGCUAAUGGGAGGAGGCAUUUGGGAGCCUUGAGAAGAUGUAAGGAUGUUUCAUACAUGGGUGGUAGUAGAAAGUAGUUAGCAGGGGAUAUAGGAUUAAGUCUCUUGUUAAUGAGCAAGAUGCUCCCCAGAUAAUUCUCUCUCCUCAUGCUCCCAAUAUAAUCUUCUCCUACAGUAGAUAAAACUGACCUGCACCACCCAUGGUAUAGAAAAUGGAAAGGACAGUAUGUGGCUUCCAAUGCUAACACAGACAAGAUACUGUGGUUUCUUGAUGUUUCUCUGUUGGAUUACCCACUGUGAGGAAAGUCAGCUGUCAUAUCAUGUCAUGAGGACCCUCAACCAAUGCUCUGAAGUCUGUGUGGUAGGAAACAAAGCUAGAGUGAAUCAGACAGUCACAUAAGUAAGCUCUCUUAGAAGAAAACCUCCAUCUGCACACCAGCCCUUCUUGGAAGAUUAUGCUGCAGCUGAGAUUUUAACUCUAGUUUCAUGCACGUGACACUGAUCCAGAAUCACUCAGCUAAGCUGGGUCCAAAUUCCUAAGCCACAGAAACUGUGUAAGAUAAUAAAUGUUUGUUAUCAUUUUUAGCUACUAAGUGUUGGGGUAAUUUGUUAUGCAGCAAUAGGUAACUAAUACAAUGAACUGCACUCUCAGUAUGUGGCUGGAGUAUGACAUAAUUGUUUAAAAAUGUUAAAUGUGUUUUCCCUGCAUCAGCUGAAGACUUUCCAAAUUCCACUCUAGAUCUACACAAUAUAAGAUGUUGUGUAUACUUUAAUUCUUACACUCUAAAAGCUACUGUUCAAAACAUUAAAUGUGCCAAGGGACUAUCAGAAUGGUGAAUACUCAAAAUACACAGGCUCCCUAAGUUAGGAUAUUUUGACUUAUGAGUUUUUUACUUUCUGAUGAUGCCAAAGAUAUGCACAUUUAGUAAAAAGUAUACUUUGAAUUUUGAUCUUUUUCUGGCCAAGUAAUUAUGCUAUGACAUCUCUCUCAUAGUGCUUGGCAGCCGCAGGGAACUCCCUGUCAACCACACAGUGAGUAGGGGAAGCUGCUAAUGUUUUCCUGCAUGUGAUGCGACUGAGUUAUCAUG